rnacentral:rRNA from 1 species
AUGAACGCUGGCGGCGUGCCUAAUACAUGCAAGUCGAGCGAACAGACGAGGAGCUUGCUCCUCUGACGUUAGCGGCGGACGGGUGAGUAACACGUGGAUAACCUACCUAUAAGACUGGGAUAACUUCGGGAAACCGGAGCUAAUACCGGAUAAUAUAUUGAACCGCCUGGUUCAAUAGUGAAAGACGGUUUUGCUGUCACUUAUAGAUGGAUCCGCGCCGCAUUAGCUAGUUGGUAAGGUAACGGCUUACCAAGGCGACGAUGCGUAGCCGACCUGAGAGGGUGAUCGGCCACACUGGAACUGAGACACGGUCCAGACUCCUACGGGAGGCAGCAGUAGGGAAUCUUCCGCAAUGGGCGAAAGCUUGACGGAGCAACGCCGCGUGAGUGAUGAAGGUCUUCGGAUCGUAAAACUCUGUUAUUAGGGAAGAACAAAUGUGUAAGUAACUAUGCACGUCUUGACGGUACCUAAUCAGAAAGCCACGGCUAACUACGUG